CUUACCGCAAAGGGAACGAGGGAGUUAGUCAAAUCCCCCGCACCCCAUUUCCACUCCCAUAUCGACGAGCGAGACGAAGGCGGAUCGGAGAUUCAAACCACAAGAAGAAGGAAGAACUUGGAAGAGAAGGGAGGAGUUUGAGAAGGAACCGGGGGAAGUGUGCUUGGGGAUCGAUCGGAUCCGGCGGCAGCUGAGAAUAUGGAGAUGGAAUAUCUGGGUAUUGAGGCGAAGCAGGCCGCCGUCCGCGAGGUGGCCAAGAUCCUCCCCCUCCAGGACCUCCUCAUUUCCAUCGCCUCCAUCAAAGCCGACUACCUCUCCCGUCAACAGGCAAAUGAUGCACAACUCAGCACAAUGCUAGCGAAGCAGGUUGAGCAGGCACAUAAGGGCAUUGAUGCACUGGGUUUGUGUCAGAAAACAAUAAACCAGAUCCGUGAAAAUUUUUUGUCCAUUGAAAAAUGUGCCUAUACACAUUAGGUUCUACUUUCUUUCUUAUAUAUACCAUACGAGACAUAUAGCUAACUAUUUUAGUUAUAACAAAUAGGUUGUGCCAAGAAUACCAGACGUUGAUCGAGAAUGAUGACAAGAUUAAGCUUCUUAGCAAUGCUAGAAACAACUUGAGCACAACGCUACAGGAUGUUGGAGGGAUGAUGUCCAUUUCUCUUGAAGCGGCUGCAGCUCAUGAUUCUCUAAGGGAUGACAAGGAACUCAUUCACACAUUUGAGAGGUUAACAGCACUGGAUGGUAAGCGGCGUUUUGCAUUAGCAGCUGCAGCAUCUCACAAGGAAUAGGUUGGAAGGCUGAGAGAAUACUUUGGGGUCAUAUCUCCAACUUCUUUAAGCUGGCUAAGGAAAGUCCACAGACAGACACUGGUGCGAGCUUUAAAUUAUGAAUUAUUGUUUCAACAUGUAUUGCUCCUUCCCAUUAAUCCUAUCUUGGUAUGGUGGUAAUUGGCUCUGACUUUCUGGAUGUUUGUUAUUUUUUGAAACAGUGCUCGGAUUUCUAAAACUAAAUCUUUAUUGAGCAAAUCUUUGAAAUGCAAUUAAAGUGAUAGUGGUCUGUGUAAAUUUCUCUGACAUGUAGUCCAUUUAUCUGACAUGGAGUUUCCACAAAGUCUUAUAGCAACAUUAUUGCUGCUUGGGCUCUACUUGUUUCUUCUCUUCCCUUCCACUAUAGCACCUCAUCUUUUUUUCCCUA